rnacentral:rRNA from 1 species
GGAGGAAAGCAGGGGAUCGCAAGACCUUGCGCUAAAGGAGCGGCCGAUGUCUGAUUAGCUAGUUGGUGGGGUAAAGGCUUACCAAGGCAACGAUCAGUAGUUGGUCUGAGAGGACGGCCAACCACACUGGGACUGAGACACGGCCCAGACUCCUACGGGAGGCAGCAGUGGGGAAUUUUGGACAAUGGGCGAAAGCCUGAUCCAGCCAUGCCGCGUGAGUGAAGAAGGCCUUCGGGUUGUAAAGCUCUUUUAGUCGGAAAGAAAGAGUUGCAAUGAAUAAUUGUGAUUUAUGACGGUACCGACAGAAAAAGCACCGGCUAACUACGUGCCAGCAGCCGCGGCAAUACGUAGGGUGCGAGCGUUAAUCGGAAUUACUGGGCGUAAAGGGUGCGCAGGCGGUCUUGCAAGUCAGAUGUGAAAGCCCCGGGCUUAACCUGGGAAUUGCGUUUGAAACUACAAGGCUAGA